rnacentral:lncRNA from 1 species
AUAAAUUUUCCCCCAAAAUUUCCUGCAACCAUCUAUGCGACCGCAUAGAUGGUUACACUAUGCGGUCGCAUAGACUAACCAACUAUGAAGUCUUUACAUUUUGGUCCCUGAACUUUCCUUGUUGCUUCUCUUGACUUCUUUCUUCGAUUUCUUCAUCUUUUCAACAAAUGUUAUCCUCCAAUUGAUGAUUGACACCAUCGAAUCUCUUGCCACUCAUUCGGCUCAUCUUUUGAGUAUUUGCGC